rnacentral:rRNA from 1 species
UUACUCCUACGGAGGCAGCAGUGGGGAAUAUUGCACAAUGGGCGCAAGCCUGAUGCAGCGACGCCGCGUGAGGGAUGACGGCCUUCGGGUUGUAAACCUCUUUCAGUAGGGAAGAAGCGAAAGUGACGGUACCUGCAGAAGAAGCGCCGGCUAACUACGUGCCAGCAGCCGCGGUAAUACGUAGGGCGCAAGCGUUAUCCGGAUUUAUUGGGCGUAAAGAGCUCGUAGGCGGUUUGUCGCGUCUGCCGUGAAAGUCCGAGGCUCAACCUCGGAUCUGCGGUGGGUACGGGCAGACUAGAGUGAUGUAGGGGAGACUGGAAUUCCUGGUGUAGCGGUGAAAUGCGCAGAUAUCAGGAGGAACACCGAUGGCGAAGGCAGGUCUCUGGGCAUUUACUGACGCUGAGGAGCGAAAGCAUGGGGAGCGAACAGGAUUAGAUACCCUGGUAGUCCAUGCCGUAAACGUUGGGCACUAGGUGUGGGGGACAUUCCACGUUUUCCGCGCCGUAGCUAACGCAUUAAGUGCCCCGCCUGGGGAGUACGGCCGCAAGGCUAAAACUCAAAGGAAUUGACGGGGGCCCGCACAAGCGGCGGAGCAUGCGGAUUAAUUCGAUGCAACGCGAAGAACCUUACCAAGGCUUGACAUGUGCCAGACCGCUCCAGAGAUGGGUUUCCCUUUG